CAGCCGCCGCGGUAAUACGAAGGGGGCUAGCGUUGUUCGGAUUUACUGGGCGUAAAGGGCGCGUAGGCGGACUGAUAAGUCAGGGGUGAAAUCCCAAGGCUCAACCUUGGAACUGCCUUUGAUACUGUUUGUCUUGAGUUCGAGAGAGGUAAGUGGAACUGCGAGUGUAGAGGUGAAAUUCGUAGAUAUUCGGAGGAACACCAGUGGCGAAGGCGGCUUACUGGCUCGACACUGACGCUGAGGUGCGAAAGCGUGGGGAGCAAACAGGAUUAGAUACCCCUGUAGUCCCUGUCUCUUAUAC
rnacentral:rRNA from 1 species